AUUCCCUGACCGUGGUGCCACCAUCUAGUGGGGGAGACAGACAAUCAAGGGAACAAAAUUAACAUGUAACUUGUGACAAGUACAAUGAAGGAAAUAACCAGGGUGCUGUGCCCCAAAACCACAGGGAGAGUCUACUGGUUGGAGGAAGCAGAUCUGCCUCUCUGGGAUCUGGAGGAUGUGCUCUCUCUGCUGUGAGCAGACAGGCAAAGCCAGCCCCUUGCUCAUCCCUCCCAUUCUAAGGCUGGUGCUGGCAGCCUGUCCAGUCCAGCAUUGUGGGCCAGGACCUGUCCCGAGGGGUGAGGCCUCUGGCUGGAUGGCUCCCCGCCCCCCUCCCGGCUGCCCUUCCUGAACAAGCUAAACCGGAUCUGCUCCUUGGUCAUGAAAGGUGUGUUCUGUGACCCGUGGAACCUGCCCCCAGCUGGCUACUCUCACCUUAGCCACCCAGUUAAUGGAAAAAAUAUCCUCAGGUGAGGAUUAAGAACAACAACAACAAUGAAUGCCUUUUCUGUGUGCUCAGUCUGGCUAGAGACCAUGGGUGCUGCCUGCACCUGGGGCAGGCUCCACUAUCGUGCUUCCAGGAACAGCUCCCUCGGACCCAGAGCAGCCCUUCUUCCCAGGUUGGGAGAAGGGACAUUGGACAAAGACAGGAACAUCAGGCACCUGACACACUCCGGCCUGGUGCUCCCCAACCCCCAGGUCCCUGACCCCAUUCCAAGGUAACUGUGGGCCAGCCCCUCAUCCCGAGGACAACUAAACCUCAAGUGAGAACCCGGGAGGAUGCCCUUGCCUGCAGCUGUGACCAGGAGCAGGCCCUGAAGUCGCAACUGUUAGGUCGCCCAAGGAGGAACGCACGAGGCCAGAGUGCAACUGCUCGAAUAAACCUAGCACCAACCUUGUUUGGUCCCCAUGUAAUGACUUUUGGAUUUGAUUGUUCAAGAAAUAAAAGGAGCCCUAGCUGGUUUGGCUCAGUGGAUAGAGCCUCGGCCUGCAGACUGAAGGGUCCCAGGUUCGAUUCCAAUCAAGG